GCAAAAGCUAUGUGUAGUCCACCAGCUCUUAUAGGACUCUACAUAAUCCAGCUUCUAGCCUCAAAUAUUUUCCUUAUGACCAAAAAAGCAUUCUUAGGUAUUAGGAUAUCUUCUAAGGUUUUGUUCUUGAUGUAAUAUCCAUGUAUCCAUUUGAUCCACAUGCCUUAUUUAUUUAUGAAGAUAUUCCACAAUUGUUUCAGUCUUGCUGCUUUAUUCCAUAGGCAUAAAUUUGUAAUGUUCAACCCACCAGCAGUUAGAGGCUUACAGAUUGAUUCUUAUGAUACCAGAGCUUUCUUGGAUACUGUUACAUUGCCAAUCCACAAAAAAGUCCUGCAUAUAUGCUAUAUGGAUUUGAUUACUCUUUUGUGCAAUAGGAAAAUUUGUGCCCAGUAUGCUUGCACCCCAAAAAUAACUGAUUUGAUGAGCCGGACCCUUCCUACAUAAGACAACAUUUUUGCUGACCAACAUGUAUUCCUUGCUGUAAUUUUUUCUAUCAAAGGUUGUACUAAGAUAUGUUUAAUUUUCUAGAAGCUAAUAAGACUCCCAGGUAGCUGAAGGGAGGUGACCCCUUAAUAAAUCCCAACUCUUCCAAGAUCUCUCUUUUUGUGGGAUCUGCAACCCCAACAAUAUACAAAGAACUCUUGUCUAAGUUGUCCUUUAGUCUCGAGGCACGUGAGAAUCUCAAGAAUACAAUAUUUAUCAUCUGUACUAAUAAUAGAUCAACUUUACAAUAUAUUAAGAGAUUAUCUGUAAAGCAGAUGUGUGUGCUGGCUAUUUUCCAACACUUUGGAUGGUGAUUGAAGUCACUGUUCUCAGGCAUUUCUCUCAGUUCUCUUCCCAAGUACUCCAUGGCAAAGAAAAAGAGGUAGGGAGACAUAGGAUCUCCCUGCCUUAUUUCUCUCUUGGUUGAGACCUCCAUUCAUCAAUAGACACCCAAAGAAGGCUAUCUUAUUUUUAGCAAGAAAGAGUUUUACCUCUUUCUACUUAUGGGCUUGAUUCAAGCCCCUAAUGUUCCAAGUUGAGAUUAUCAUAAAGGUACAAGUUAUAGCGCGAACAUCAUAUUCAGAUAGUUUGUAGCUUCUGGUCAGCAGGUAAUGAGUCCUUUUGAUUCAAGGGAUCGAGUCAGUCAUAGUUUGAGUAGUAUUUUAUUUUUUCUCCAUUUAUUCGCAUUGAUUCGAGAUAGCUGGGGUUCAUAUCCCAGCUAGCUAUAGUCAAUACUAAUAGAGACGUCAUAGACAGUUAGUUGAGUUAAUGUUUUUGAUUCCAGUUUUGUUUCGUAUAAUCAGGGUUGUAACCAUUUAAAUAUAAUUUUGUAUUGAUCAUUUUCAAAAAUGAUUUAUCUUUCACUUA